rnacentral:rRNA from 1 species
CCUGUGACAUACCACUUGUUGCCUCGGCGGAUCAGCCCGCUCCCGGUAAAACGGGACGGCCCGCCAGAGGACCCCUAAACUCUGUUUCUAUAUGUAACUUCUGAGUAAAACCAUAAAUAAAUCAAAACUUUCAACAACGGAUCUCUUGGUUCUGGCAUCGAUGAAGAACGCAGCAAAAUGCGAUAAGUAAUGUGAAUUGCAGAAUUCAGUGAAUCAUCGAAUCUUUGAACGCACAUUGCGCCCGCCAGUAUUCUGGCGGGCAUGCCUGUUCGAGCGUCAUUUCAACCCUCAAGCACAGCUUGGUGUUGGGACUCGCGUUAAUUCGCGUUCCCCAAAUUGAUUGGCGGUCACGUCGAGCUUCCAUAGCGUAGUAGUAAAACCCUCGUUACUGGUAAUCGUCGCGGCCACGCCGUUAAACCCCAACUUCUGAAUGUUGACCUCGGAUCAGGUAGGAAUACCCGCUGAACUUAAGCAUAUCAA